rnacentral:rRNA from 1 species
GCAUAACGCGAAGAACCUUACCUAGGCUUGACAUGCAUCUCUAAGCGCGUGAAAGCGCGUGACCCUUCGGGGGAUUUGCACAGGUGCUGCAUGGCCGUCGUCAGCUCGUGUCGUGAGAUGUUGGGUUAAGUCCCGCAACGAGCGCAACCCUUGUGAACAGUUGCCAGCACUUAAGGUGGGAACUCUGUUCAGACUGCCUAGAUCAACUGGGAGGAAGGUGGGGACGACGUCAGGUCAGUAUGGCCCUUACGCCUAGGGCUGCACACGUACUACAAUGCCCAGCACAAUGAGAACCGAGACCGCGAGGUGGAGGAAAUCUAAAAAACUGGGCCCAGUUCGGAUUGGAGGCUGCAACUCGCCUCCAUGAAGUUGGAAUCGCUAGUAAUGGCGCAUCAGCUACGGCGCCGUGAAUACGUUCCCGGGUCUUGUACACACCG